rnacentral:piRNA from 1 species
UAAUUCCUUAGAAUCACCAUGUGGCGAUGU